UACAGAGGUCCCAAGCGUUGUUCGGAUUCACUGGGCGUAAAGGGUGCGUAGGUGGCGAAGUAAGUCGGAUGUGAAAUCUCCGAGCUCAACUCGGAAACUGCAUUGGAAACUGCUUCGCUCGAGGGAUGGAGGGGGGACUGGAAUUCUCGGUGUAGCAGUGAAAUGCGUAGAGAUCGAGAGGAACACCAGUGGCGAAGGCGAGUCCCUGGACAUCUCCUGACACUGAGGCACGAAAGCUAGGGGAGCAAACAGG
rnacentral:rRNA from 1 species